AAUUAGUCGCUCGAGCGGGAGUUGCAAGAUGGAAAAUUGAUUGCGAAAUGUGUAAUGGAUGAUGUGGUGGCACUGAGGACCUAUGAGAAAGAGGUGUGAUUCCAGUCUGCUGAAUUGAAGACCCCCACCAGCAAUAACAUGCAUGUUAUCUGUUCAAUACCUACCAUGUUAAAUUCACUGACUCAAUUGGUACCAAAAUCCCAAGAAGCUUUCAAUAAAGUCAGUUCUGCUUUGUGAAAA